rnacentral:misc_RNA from 1 species
GAUGAAGAACGUAGCGAAAUGCGAUAAGUAAUGUGAAUUGCAGAAUUCAGUGAAUCAUCGAAUCUUUGAACGCACCUUGCGCCCUUUGGCUAUUCCGAAGGGCAUGCCUGUUUGAGUAUCAUGAACACCUCAACUCUCAUGGCUUGCUGUGAUGAGCUUGGAAUUUGGGGGUCUUGUUGGCUUGUGAGCCAGCUCCUCCUAAAUGAAUUAGCUUGCCGGUGUUUGGUGGCAUCACAGGUGUGAUAACUAUCUACUCUUGUGGUUUCCCAUCAGGUAACCUCCAGUGAUGGAGGUUCGCUGGGGCUCAUAAAUGUCUCUCCUCAGUGAGUACAGAUUUUGACUGUUUGAUCUCAAAUCAGGUAGGACUACCCGCUGAACUUAAGCAUAUCAAUAAGCGGAGGA